rnacentral:lncRNA from 1 species
UUUUGAGUCGCGGGUGUCUUAGCCUAGCAAGCUAAGCAUCGGGGAGCAAGGCUGACUUAGCAAGAUCAAGCGUCUUGGCUUGUCUAAGUGCCGCACGAGCUUAGGGAACGACUAAGUCCGUGACAUUAGGUACUACCUAAAUAGCCCUUAGGUACUACCUUAAUAGCCCUUAGGUACCACCUUAAAGGACCUUAGGUACUACCUUAGUUAAAGUUGAGUUUUACCUAUUCCAAACCUUGGGCCUUCCUUUGUGACCCUUAGACCAUGCCACUAUGUGAUUCUCUUGUGUGGGGAAGGGAUUCACCUUUGCUUUUUUGGGACUGUACCUUAUGUACUACCUUAAUAGCCCUUAGGUACUACCUUAAUAGCUUUUAGCUACUAUCUUAAUGUACCUUAGGUAUUACCUUAAAGGACCUUAGGUACUACCUUAAUUAAAGUUGGGUUCUACUUAUCCCAAGCCUUGGGCCUUCCUUUGUGACCCUUACACCAUGCCAUUAUGUGAUUCUCUUGUGUGGACAAAUGGUUUACCUUUGUUUUUUUGCAGACUGUACCUUAGGUACUACCUUAAUAUCCUUCAAGUACUACCUUAAUCUACCUUGGGUACUACCUUAAGGGACCUUAGGUACUACGUCAGUUAAAGUUGGGUUCUACCUAUCCCAAGCAUCGGGCUUUCCUUUGUAACCCUUAGACUCAAAUAGUGAUCAAAUUAAUAUAAGAAAUCUAUGAAAAAAUAAUAAUAACUUUAUUGUUUAUUUUCUAUAUAAAAUCAUAUAUAUAUAUUUU